rnacentral:rRNA from 1 species
CAAGCGGUGGAGCAUGUGGUUUAAUUCGAUGCAACGCGAAGAACCUUACCAGCUCUUGACAUCCUGCGAACUUUCUAGAGAUAGAUUGGUGCUUCGGGAACGCAGUGACAGGUGCUGCAUGGCCGUCGUCCGCUCGUGUCGUGAGAUGUUGGGUUAAGUCCCGCAACGAGCGCAACCCUUGUCCUUAGUUGCCAGCACGUAAUGGUGGGAACUCUAAGGAGACUGCCGGUGACAAACCGGAGGAAGGUGGGGACGACGUCAAGUCAUCAUGGCCCUUAUGGGCUGGGCUACACACGUGCUACAAUGGGCUGUACAGAGGGUCCCGAACCCGCGAGGGGGAGCCAAUCCCACAAAGCAGCUCUUAGUCCGGAUUGCAGUCUGCAACUCGACUGCAUGAAGUUGGAAUCGCUAGUAAUCGUAGAUCAGAACUGCUACGGUGAAUACGUUCCCGGGCCUUGUACACACCGCCCGUCACACCAUGGGAGUGGGUUGCAAAAGAAGUGGCUAGU